CUUUCCGCAACAAUUUCAUUCAACUGCUUUCCUCGUCCCUCGAGUCCUUUCCAUAGUCACAGCACACGCUGUGUGUCUUUCGCGUUUCAGACAGAAACAGGAUUAGCCGCUCCGAUCUGCUUUUCCGUGUCAGUCCAUGCGUUUAAAGCGUUGUCCGCAGGAUGUAUUUUGGUUUGGUGCUUGAAAGAGCAAUCGUGGCGUUGUGCCAAGAUGUUGCUCUAGUCGGCCAUCGCUUCCUUCGAAUUGUCAAGGCUCCUGAAGCAACAGUUCUGGCUGGUCGUUGAUUCCGCCUGAAUUUAGAAGCGGAGCCCUGGUGCUUAGUUUUACUUCCACCCACCGAUUCUUUUCACCCUCCCAGUGGUUGUGUGUGAUGGGACACUUCGGUUUCCUCCAUUCCUUUCAAUUUUGACUUUUUUGCCUGUUCGCACGUGGACGUAUCGAGGCACUCUUACUUUCUUUGAAGCCUUUCGUCGGCGAUUAUUACACAGUUCACUGAGAACCUCUCUUUAGGCUACAAAACUGUAGGGAAUCUGUGCUUCCAGCUGAUCACGCACCGUGUGAUUGAUGUAUCGACGUUCCAAGCGAAGAUAUCAUUUGAGCGCGUCUGUCAUGUCUGAUGUAGUAGUGAUCACAAUAUAUACUGACCAUUCGACUUGUUACGCAUGUAAUAUGAACAGAUCUUAACAGCUCUUUCAGAGCAGACACUUUGUGACAUGUCAAUUGGAGGUAUAAGUGACUAAAUUGGUACUGCCUCUGUGGUGCUAAAGCUCCCGGAUGAUAAGCCGUGUAGUGCUCGCUAAAAGUUUUUUUGUGUUCGCUUAGUGAACGAUCUCGCUGUUGUUUUCAAGAUCGGUGUCUUCAAUCAGUCGUAGUCAGGUUAGGCGAAUCUGGUAAGCCGUAGUCAGUGCCCCUCCGUGGUUUUCCUUUGAAUCGUCAGGUCUGCCAGAGGGGGCUUGGUGAGGUUCCAUACUGGAGAUUUUGGUUGCUAUCUUCUGCCUGCCCGAAUCCCUUUGAGCGCGGUUUGAGUGAUGUUGCUCGAUAUUGAAUUUGGAUCAUCGGGUGUUUCGUGUGUUGAUGUAUGUGGCUUGUCUUUGACUUUUAACCUCAUCACGUUAGCGUUUAUACCACGCCUGACAUAUUUCUGCGAUAUUUUUUCAUUUUUUUAUUUUUAUUUAAUAAAUAAUUUCUGAUGUCGAAACUAUCUAUGCUUGAGAUAGAUCACGUCAAGACCAACUUAGUUUCAAUUGGCUAAUUGCCUGGCGGUUUACGAUAACAAGAUAUGUAAAUCACUCCAUAGGGGUGGAGGUUAUCUUGUCACGAAGAGUUCUUAGUUCUCCAUGCUUCUCUAACGUUGCAUGGAGUCUAUGUCUGGACCUCCUCCAUUUGCUCUUUCAAGAGAAUGUGAGAAUUUCGAGAUUCGGACAUAGCCUUCAUGCAUGCUAGAGUAGAAUGGAAUCUCCUGAUCCUCUUGGAACUAGCAUUUUCGUUACAAGCGAAGGCCGUCAUACUGCUUGAUGUGUCAACCACCGUCUGCAUGACUGAGUAUUCCCUCAUGGAAUUCAAUUUUUACUGGAUUAGGGAAUGUGACGAUUGUGUGCAGUUAACUCCGUAUUCUGUUUGUUGACAGUUUCUAAACUAUGAAAGGACGGUGGGUAAGAGUUGGGAUCCUAACAAUGAAGUUGAAAUGUACAAUCGAAGUAUGAUAUUACCUUUUGAUUAUUCCUCAGAAAGUUUGCUAGAACACCAGGAUUCUACUGUUUAGGAACAGUUCUGUGUAUUAUUAUCCUGCUAUCAGUAAACUAGUUCAGUGUAUUUAAUUGCUUGGGAUAGACUAAAUGUGCUUGAUUAUGCAGGUGCCAAUAUACAUGAAGAGUCGAGCGAUCAACCAUCUCUCUCAACAGUUAUUCGAAUCCCACUUUGGUCUCUUUGUAAUGUGGUAAACCUCGUUACAAAGCUUGUUCCCUCAAGAUAUUCUUUCUUUUGGACAGGUUGACUAAAAUUAUGCAGGUCUGGCGUCUAGUUUGUCGCUAAAUCGAGUGACUGAAAGGGCUGGUGAAUUCUGACCCGGAGAACUGCACUUACCAUCUCCGCUUGGUACUGUUGCGACCUGAACACGUGGUACAUGUGUAUCUGUCAGGCAGUAACGCUGUAGUUGAUCUUGGUAAGGCUUCCGUAUGUCGUUUACUUAACGCCUGACCUGUGAAAUGCACCAUCGGCCACAAUUCAUGGUCCUAACCAGCGUAAUGAAUGAUUUGAUGUAUGUAAAUGGAAUGGAGUUCUCAGUAUCCGCUCCAUUACAUUCAGCUUAUCAUGUCAAUGAGUUCCCUUCAAUUGUUCGUAAAGCUGUUGCCGUGAUAACGGAUUGUAAACCCAGUACAUGGAACAUAGAUUGGCACACCGUGUACUUGCUGGAAUGACUUCUUUGUCUUUUGAUCUUUAAGACGCAAUUUUUGUUUUCGCUGCAAUGAAUGCGAGCAUCCCUUUAGCUCAGACACAUGGACUUGUGGUAAAGAGAUGAUCAAGUGCAGCGCAAUCAGUUUCCAUUGCUGUUUUAAGGUCAUGCUUUACUGCGUGCAGACAGGGUACAGGCAUUGCUUGCUGUCAAUCUUUUGGUGUGACACAACCACUGGUUUAUUCCUAUUAUUGAUCUGACCACCGACUGCUAAGUCUUAAAAUUGCCACGUCGAUCAACAGCUCUGAAUCUAUCAAUUUCCUUCUACUGUGCACUGUAGGAAUCGAAGUUGCAUAUGUUCCUAGUAGCCAUGUGGAAGUAGAUUUCUUAAUCAGCAUCUAUCAAAGCGGAGUGUAGAUUUUUCAUGCUCCUUAGAAAGUUGUAUCUGUGGUACAAACCAUUGAUAUUUUUACAUUAAAGCUGUAUUUACCAGCUGAAAGCCAUGUACAUCGUCUUAAUAAACCUUUUCGGUACGAUCACAAUGUUAUUGUUUUCUUUA